UUGAUCCUGGCUCAGAAUCAACGCUGGCGGCGUGCCUAACACAUGCAAGUCGAACGCGAAAGGGGCUUCGGCCCUGAGUAGAGUGGCAAACGGGUGAGUUACACGUGGGUGACCUGCCUCAGAGUGGGGGAUAACGUCCCGAAAGGGACUCUAAUACCGCAUAGCAUCCUGCCCAUGGAAGGGUGGAGAUCAAAGCCGGUGAUCGCAAGACCUGGCGCUUGGAGAGGGGCCCGCGUCUGAUUAGCUAGUUGGUAGGGUAAUGGCCUACCAAGGCAACGAUCAGUAUCCGGCCUGAGAGGUCGGACGGACACACUGGGACUGAGACACGGCCCAGACUCCUACGGGAGGCUGCAGUGGGGAAUUGUUCGCAAUGGGCGCAAGCCUGACGACGCAACGCCGUGUGGAGGAUGAAGAUCUUCGGGUCGUAAACUCCUGUCGAGCGGGAAGAAUUCCUGCCCGGCUAAUAUCCGGGUCGGUUGACGGUACCGCUAAAGGAAGCUCCGGCUAACUCCGUGCCAGCAGCCGCGGUAAUAAGGU
rnacentral:rRNA from 1 species